rnacentral:rRNA from 1 species
AGGACGAACGCUGGCGGCGUGCUUAACACAUGCAAGUCGAGCGGUAAGGCCUUUCGGGGUACACGAGCGGCGAACGGGUGAGUAACACGUGGGUGAUCUGCCCUGCACUCUGGGAUAAGCCUGGGAAACUGGGUCUAAUACCGGAUAUGACCUGCUCUCGCAUGGGGGUGGGUGGAAAGAUUUAUCGGUGCAGGAUGGGCCCGCGGCCUAUCAGCUUGUUGGUGGGGUAAUGGCCUACCAAGGCGACGACGGGUAGCCGACCUGAGAGGGUGACCGGCCACACUGGGACUGAGACACGGCCCAGACUCCUACGGGAGGCAGCAGUGGGGAAUAUUGCACAAUGGGCAAAGCCUGAUGCAGCGACGCCGCGUGAGGAUG